GCGCUUCUCCCUCUCCCACCACAAUUUCUUCUCCUAAAACACGCAGUGCAGCCAUUGCAGCGCUACACCAUUUUCCUCUGCAUAGUGUCCUCUCUCACAGUCUCGUCAGAUAAUGAGUUUCGGAAAGAAGAUCAGGAUAGGGCUCGAUGUUUGUUGCUUUAUUUGUUUAUAAAUUCAGGGUUUGGAAGAAUUAAUCGUUUCAUCGCGAGAGCAGCUCACAGAGACGAAAACAAGCUUUCAAAUGCCAGCACUGUGCUUAAGACUUCCACCUUUAAGCAUGACUCAGAUGGUUUUGGAUCUGCUGGGUUAAAGUCUUUCAGAGCAUUUGCAGUGGUUGGUGCUGGAAUCUCUGGGCUACUUAGCUUUGCAGGAGUUGCUUAUUCUGAUGAGGCCGAACAUGGCUUAGAGUGUCCGAGCUAUCCUUGGCCUCACGAAGGCAUUCUCAGCUCUUAUGACCAUGCUUCGAUACGUCGAGGUCAUCAGGUUUACCAGCAAGUGUGUGCGUCCUGCCACUCAAUGUCGCUAAUUUCCUACCGUGAUCUUGUUGGUGUUGCAUACACUGAAGAAGAAACUAAGGCCAUGGCAGCAGAAAUUGAG
rnacentral:misc_RNA from 1 species